rnacentral:lncRNA from 1 species
GUUGGAGUCGUAACCAGAAACAAAUCAGCCUCUCCAAGAUUCAGAACUCAGACACUGGAAAAUAACAACUGGGAGAAGAAAAAGACAGAGGUGGAUCCCUGAAACCCAAGAAAGAUCUGAUGGGAAUAUUGAACCACAUAGAGAAAUUGAAGAGAUUGACUGCAAUGAAGAAAAAGGAAGAGACAAUCUACACUUUCUCCCCUGCUCCUGGCUUGUGGCUUGUGAGACAGGAAGAUCAAACCUACAGAGACAGUUUAACUGGAUAACUCCAGAGGCCUUCAGAAAGAAAUGGAUGCUGUGUGCUAUAAAAUCUGGUACUGUUCGACUAGUGAUGGCUGGCUCCGUCACAAGUGGCACCCGAACAGGGACCUGAGAAUUGAGGACAAGGUGAAGGACGCCGCUGGAUUGUGAGCUCGGACAACCUUUAGGGUCUUAUCAGGGAGAGCUUGGAUCCUCGUCAGGGGACUUCGGUGAGUAACUCACAAAGAGACCCGGCUGCCUCUAGUCCGGAGGACAUUUCGUGCAUAGGUAGAAAAACUGAGUAGGAUAUUACAAUUCAAUUUGGCCAAAUAUAUUUGAGUGCACUCUUAAUUUUAUAAAUUGUCGUAUAUGUUUGUCUAUUGUCUGUUGUCUGUCUGUUUGUACAGUUGAGCUCAAUUUUUUUUCUUUUCCUUUUCACCUUUUGAAAAAAUUUUUUCUUAAAAGAUAUUCACCUAUUAUUAAAUUGGCUUACAGAUAAAUGUUAUUAAAUUAAAGGCAUGCCCUCCUUCCCAGGUUGCUAACUGAUCAAAGUGCCACCGAGAUUUAUUUUAUAAAAGUAAUGUGU